GUUGCCCAGGCUCAGCAGAUAGGACAGUUAAAUUCUGGGACCUUGAAACCUUUGAGCUAAUUGGUUCAGCUGGACCUGAGACCACUGGAGUGCGUUGUUUGACUUUUAACCCUGAUGGACGGACCCUACUUUGUGGAUUGCAUGAGAGUUUGAAGGUUUUCUCAUGGGAGCCGAUUAGAUGCCAUGAUGGCGUGGAUGUGGGAUGGUCUAAAUUAUCAGAUCUUAAUGUUCACGAGGGAAAACUUCUCGGCUGCUCAUAUAAUCAAAGUUGUGUAGGAGUAUGGGUUGUAGAU